GACGAACGCUGGCGGCGUGCUUAACACAUGCAAGUCGAACGGAAAGGCCCUGCUUUUGUGGGGUGCUCGAGUGGCGAACGGGUGAGUAACACGUGAGUAACCUGCCCUUGACUUUGGGAUAACUUCAGGAAACUGGGGCUAAUACCGGAUAGGAGCUCCUGCUGCAUGGUGGGGGUUGGAAAGUUUCGGCGGGUGGGGUUGGACUCGCGGCUUAUGAGCUUGUUGGUGGGGUAGUGGCUUACCAAGGCUUUGACGGGUAGCCGGCCUGAGAGGGUGACCGGCCACAUUGGGACUGAGAUACGGCCCAGACUCCUACGGGAGGCAGCAGUGGGGAAUAUUGCACAAUGGGCGGAAGCCUGAUGCAGCAACGCCGCGUGCGGGAUGACGGCCUUCGGGUUGUAAACCGCUUUCGCCUGUGACGAAGCGUGAGUGACGGUAAUGGGUAAAGAAGCACCGGCUAACUACGUG
rnacentral:rRNA from 1 species